CACAGACAAGAAAAGAAUAACAAAUGAUCUUUAAAAUUUUCUGGGUGAUUCAAGCUGUGAAGAAAUUAAUAUUACAGAGAUGAGAAUUUAGUGAAGAAGAUGGUCAAGCUGGCUGCUGCUUCGGUGGUUCAGCCGCUGCUUCCUCCGCCGGAGCUUCGUCCUUGACUUCUUCUUUCUUGGGUUCUUGUUGUUCAUCUUGAACUAAAAUUUCUUUGUCUUUGGAUUCAACUUCUUCCUUGGUCUGUGUUUCUGCAGGUGGCUCAGCCGCCGCAGCUUUAUCUUCCACAAUUACCAAGCUUGAAACUUUUUCCAGUAUGAACAAAACUGGCCCUGAAACUGAUCCUGAUCCAUACUUGGAUGAUAUUUCGCUUACUGCCUU
rnacentral:lncRNA from 1 species